CAAGCGUUGUUCGGAAUUACUGGGCGUAAAGGGCUCGUAGGCGGCCAACUAAGUCGGAUGUGAAAUCCCCAGGCUUAACCGGGGAACUGCGUCUGAUACUGGAUGGCUUGAGAUUGGGAGAGGGAUGCGGAAUUCCAGGUGUAGCGGUGAAAUGCGUAGAUAUCUGGAGGAACACCGGUGGCGAAGGCGGCAUCCUGGACCAACACUGACGCUGAGGAGCGAAAGCCAGGGGAGCAAACGGG
rnacentral:rRNA from 1 species